ensembl:snRNA Gm24925 predicted gene, 24925
GUGCUCACUUCAACAGCAUAUAUACUAAAAUUGGAACGAUACAGAGAAGAUUAGUAUGGCCCCUGAGCAAGGAUGACAUGCAAAUUUGUGAAGUGUUCAAUAUUUUU